CCUGUUGAACUGCGGCCUUACAUAACACCAGGGAAUUAAUUAUAGACCCUAACUCUGUCUUUCCAGACUUUCUAAUGUUUUUAUUAUAUAGGGAGGUGUAAAAGCAUUUCCUUUGGAAUUAGCUGAAUUAAGUGUGAACAGUCUUCCAUCCUCAACUAUCUCUUCAGGAUGAUAUUUUAUUUGUGGGGGUUAUGGGAGAAAGAAGCCCCAAAAUAUACACCCAAACACAUACCAAGGGCUACUGAAACUAAGUAACAAUUUGCUACCAGCGGAGAACAAGUUCUGGAGGCAUUAAUCAAAGCACAGCAGAAAAUAAUGCCAUUACGAUACCAAUAGCUAGGGAGAUGGAGACAGGAAAAAAAAAAACAGAGGAGCAAGAAAAAGAGCAUCAAGAGCACAUUGCAUACUGGAGUGUGUGUUCCUUCGCAGACGACUCUCAUCUCCUUCUGACAGUCUAUCACAGACCAACAACAACAAAAGUGAAGUGGCUGCAAGAUUUACAUUGGAAGGUGGAUAAUGCAGACAG